AGAGUUUGAUCCUGGCUCAGGACAAACGCUGGCGGCGUGCUUAACACAUGCAAGUCUAAGGAGAACGUUAUCUUCGGAUAACAAGUAAACUGGCGGACGGGUGAGUAACGCGUAGGCAACCUACCUUUAAGAUUGGGAUAACGUUUGGAAACGAACGCUAAUACCAAAUAAUAUUCUUUGAAUCAAAGGGGGCUUCGGCUCUUGCUUAAAGAUGGGCCUGCGUCUGAUUAGCUAGAUGGUAAGGUAAUGGCUUACCAUGGCAACGAUCAGUAGCUGGUUCGAGAGGAUGAUCAGCCACACUGGGACUGAGAUACGGCCCAGACUCCUACGGGAGGCAGCAGUGGGGAAUUUUGCGCAAUGAGGGAAACCUUGACGCAGCAACGCCGCGUGAUCGAAGAAGCUUCUAGGAGUGUAAAGAUCUGUCAUAGGGGAAGAAAUGCUUAUAUUCUAACACAAUAUUUGCUUGACGGUACCCUAUAAGAAAGCUCCGGCUAACUAGGUGCCAGCAGCCGCGGUAAUACCUGGGGGGCAAGCGUUGUCCGGAUUCAUUGGGCGUAAAGGGCUCGUAGGUGGACUGACCAGUCAAAAUUGAAAUACAAUGGCUCAACCAUUGGCACGGUUUUGAUACUAUCAGUCUUGAGUGAAAUAGAGGUAAGCGGAAUUCCUAGUGUAGCGGUGAAAUGCGUAGAUAUUAGGAGGAACACCAAAGGCGAAGGCAGCUUACUGGAUUUAUACUGACACUGAGGAGCGAAAGCGUGGGUAGCGAACAGGAUUAGAGACCCUGGUAGUCCACGCCGUAAACGAUGAGCACUU
rnacentral:rRNA from 1 species